rnacentral:snRNA from 1 species
AGACUUACCUGGCAGGGGAGACACCAUGAUCAGGCAGAUGGUUUUCCCAGGGCGAGGCUCAUCCCUUGCAUUCUGGGGCAUUUGUACUUAUAUGAGUGAGUACAAAACAUCUCGCACC